rnacentral:lncRNA from 10 species
AGGUUUUCCAGGCUUCCUGUGCUGUCUUGGGGACCUGCUCAGAGGCUGGACCGCGUCAUGCUCAGAAGGCCCUGUUUUCUUUAGACGCUGACUCCUGCUGUCUACCAGAUCCUCGUGGUACAAUGACUGGUGUAGACUGGCUUGUUGAAGUCACUCUCUGGAUCUGAGCAACGCUGGCUGAGCCGUGAUGAAGUAUUCCUAUCCAUCCACUAUGCUUCACAGUGGGAAUCUCUCACUGUUCAUCACCGCUGCCCUAGCAGCCGCAGGUUCAAGAGCUGCUGGGAUAUAGCAGUUAAGAGAUGAACCCUGCAGCCUGACUUCCUUUGCUAGAAUCCUGGCACUGUUACUUAUUCCUUGUAUGUCUCUAG